GAAAUUAUUAUGGAUAUAAAAGCUGUAUAUUAAAGAAGAUUAGUGAUGGCUUAUGUAUUAGGUACUAAAUUCUAAUACAAUGUAGAUAGAUAAUAAUUAUGAUACUAAAUUCUAAGAGAAAUCUAAUAUUAAACAAAGUGAAUUGAAAUAUCUCAGUAACUUUAGGAAAAAAAAUCAAACGAGAUUAUUUAUUAUUUUAAUUAAAGAUAAAUAAUAGCCUUAUAAUUAUUAUAAGUAAUUAUAAUAAUAAUAAUAAGUAAAAUGGAUGUAUUCUGUUUUGAAUAAAGGGGAACCUUCCUCUAAGGCUAAAUAUAAUAUAUAAGCGAUAGUGAAUAGUACCGUGAGGUAAAUAUAAGAAAUAGUAAUUUUAUAAGCAGCUCGAGUAAAAAUUAAAAUUAAAAAUAAGAGUAUACCUUUUGCAUAAUGGGUCAGCAAGUUAAUUUUAGAUGCAAGUGGUUUUGGGUAAUUAUAAACUCGAACACGAAGAUAAACCAAUUAUGAAAAAAUGAUAAGUAUCUAGAAUUAGACCCGAAGGCUAGUGAUCUUACCAUGAUCAGGGUUAUAAAAGCCCGAACGGGUUAUCGUUGUAUAGAUAUCCGAGGAAUUGUGGUAAGUUAGUGAAAGACAAAACAGACUAGUAUAGCUGGUUUUCCGCGAAACCUAUGUUAGUAGGUAAUUCAAUUUAUAUCUUAGUAGGUACAGAACUGUGAUCUCGAACAAUAUUAAAUAUAAUAUUUUGUUUACAUCGGGGGAUUGUAGUGAUUUUAUCGGAGAGUAUUUGCACUCGGAAGGGCAAAGAUAAAUAUUGAGUAAUCGGACAUAGUAUGAUAAGGUUGUAUGUCUAAAGGGAAACAGCCCUAAACAAAAGUUUAAGGUUCCAAAGUUAUUAUUGAGUGAAAUUAAGGAUGUUUUUUUCAAAAACAAUCAGGAAAUAGGCUUAGAGGCGGCCAUUUUUUGAAGAUCUCGUAACAGAGCACUGAUUAAUAUUAAUAGGAAAAAAUACCAAAAAUAUAAAGGAUCUAAAUAAUAUACCGAAACUUUGUACACAUAAUUUGUGAGGUAGCGGAACAUCGGAUAUGUAACUUUAUGUAUAUUCUUUUAUAGAAUAUAUAAGUGUAACAGUGUUAAUGAUACUCUAAUCUUAAUAUAUGAAUAAAUAAAAUGAUUAAUUUUAUUUUAUUUUAUUUCAUUAUUAGAUAUUAGGUAUUUUUAUUUAAGAUAAAAUUUAACUAUUAACACCUUGUAAUGUAUACACCAGGUUUACAUCAUGUUUAUAUUCCGAGAGACAAUGCUGACAUGAGUAACGAAAAAGGACUUACCUCGCCUUAAGCUUAUGGGAUAAACUUAAUUUUCGGUAUCUAAAUAAUUUAUCUAAAGAUAAUUAUGAUGAUCAUAGUAAAGUAAGGAAGUAUAUAACUUUCUUAGUAAUAUAAAGACCUUUAUAAAGUAGUAAAGGUUCUGGAAAUGUUUUACUAAAAAAAAAUAAUUUACUAAAAACCGUACCUAAAAACUAUCACAAGUAAGCAAGUAGAGUAUACAAAGGCGUUUGAGUGAACAAUCAUUAAGGAACUCGGCAAAUUGACUUCCGUAACUUCGGGAUAAGGAGAGCCAUUUUUAUUAAUUUAACCAAUAUAACAAGUUAUAUUGGAUAAUUAUUAAAUUAAUAGGAAGAGGAGGCACAUAAUAGUGUUGUACGACUGUUUAAUAAAAACAAAGCACUCUGCCAAGAUAAAAUAUCUAAGUAUUGAGUGUGAUGUCUGCCCAAUGUCGGCUGGAUAACGGAUUUUCCUUGAUGUAUAUUUAAGGUUUUGAAGGAUACCCCGAUAAAUGGCGGCCUUACCUAUGAGGGUCCUAAGGUAGCGGAAUACCUUGGCCGUUAAAUGCGGUCUUUGCAUGAAUGACUUAACGAUACAACAGCUGUCUCGAUGAUUGUCUCAGUGAAAUUG
rfam:Talaromyces islandicus isolate WF-38-12 genome assembly, contig: WF-38-12_scaffold00075